ensembl:snRNA U6 U6 spliceosomal RNA
GUGAUUGCUUUGGCAGCACAUAUACUAAAUUGGAAUGAUAAAGGGAAGAUUAGCAUGGCCCCUGUGCAAGGAUGACACACGAAUUUGUGAAGCAUUCCAUAUUUUU